UUGGACGUUCGAUAUUCGCAGAUAUGCGGAAAUUAAGGGACCGUCUCUAAAGUUACAUACGACAUUGUUAAACACGUUUCAACUUCAAUAGCAUUUGAAGGGAAUGACUUACAGUCAUAUAACCAACUGUAAAAUGUUCAACUAGGUGUCAGGGUCACAGGGAACCUGGAGCCUAUCCCAGGAAGUAUCGGGCACAAGGCAGGGUACACCCUGGACAGGGUGCCAGUCCAUCACAGGGCACAAUCACAUACACACUCCCAUUUGAUAUGCCAAUCAGCCUACCAUGCAUGUCUUUGGACUGGGGGAGGAAACCCCCGCAGCAUGGGGAGAACAUGCAAACUCCGCACACACAUGGCCCCGGCAGGACUUGAAUCGCGGACCCUGGAGGUGUGAGGCGAACAUGCUAACCACUAAGCCACUGUGCGCCCUAAAACGAAACAUUUAUGGAAAAUAUAAGACAACAUGUGUUUUGGCUUUCCUUGAUCAGUCCAACUUCACUUGUUUUAUAUGUAUACUUGCAUACAUAUGUUGUGUCUGUUGUGCUCUUCUUGGGCUGGAAUUAUUCUUCUGGGCUUACUGGGCUUCUGCUUGUGUGGAUAUUUGCUAUGCGAUAAUUAUUUAUUUCCCAGUACUUUAUAUAUGCGAGUAUGCAAAGACUCUGCAUGAAAAAGUACCAAUUAUAAACAUUGUGUCAUAUUAGUUCAAAGUUUGAAUAAGUUAAUAACUGCACAAUGGUAGAUUCUUUCACUAUUGCAUGAAUAUGUGUAUUGUGAUUUAGAUUAUGAAACACACAUUAAAUUGACUAUUUAAUCAUUA